UUACCUUUUUCCAAUAGUACAAUCUGAAAGAGUAACGAAGCAUUAGCUUGUUAGGAAGGUUUUCUGUAACUGGGACAUCAGCAAAUCAAACAAAGACUUUCAAAUUAUACUCUACAGGAAAGAGGUUGCACUGUUGACGUGUUAGUGCAAGAUCAUUCUUGAAAACUUCAUCACAGUAAAGGAGGCAAGUUGGCAAGAUCCAAAUGAGCAAUGGGCUCAUGCCAUGAAUCUUAACAACUGGAGACUAUGUCUCUAUUACUUUAAGCUGCAGGAGAUUUUGAUAUUUAGAAAUAUUGUACUCAUUUACAGGAAUAAGAGAAAAACAUGGAGAUGCAAAGGAAGAGAAAGAGGAGAGACUACUUGUUUUCUAAGCCACAUCAGAAUCCUUUCUUCACUCAACUUUUCAAGAUGCGCCUGGCCAAGUUAUAUUAGGUGAUUUCUUACAUCUGGGUCUUAGGAGAAACAGGAAGUCAAUCUCAAAUGACCAUAGGGAUUGCCUGCAUGGAUGUUAAAAGAUGUUUGGAAAAACAUGAGGUAAAUAAUUUCAUACCUCAGAUACUGAGGCUUUCAUGAAGACCAUAUCACUGAGGAGGUUUUAAGAGAGUGUGAGAGGAACAGCCUUCCAUAACUGUCACCUACUGUCACAGUUGCCUGAAGCCCACUGUUGCAACAACCAGCAGCCCUUAAACCUCCCUUUUAACAAUGGCUGGUUUCUUGCUGCUGUUCCUAUCCAUUCUACUUACCACAUCACAUAAUGAAUUCCCCACUAAUUUCAUUAAUUUAGGUCAAAUCUGUGCACAGAGGUAGCCAAACAGAAUACAGGUAGCCAAACAUGUCCAUCAGGUAGCCAAAGUGUCCAUCCUUCCCAGGGAUGUCAUUAGUGGGAUGCAAGAAAAUCUUGAGGAAAAUUAUUUAUCUUCCAAGGCCAUCUCAUUUUUAAGAUAAUUAUUCUUAUACUCUUGAAAGGGAAAGGACAAUCAUGAAUGGGCAGUAUGGCUUCUUCCAUGCUGAAUGCACUGAUCAUCUAUUGACAGCAUCUUCUUGAGUCUGUGUCAGAGUAGCUGGAGGAUGGUGAAGCAGAAUGGGAAACCAUGCUAGGAUUUUGUUAUGGGCUCUAAGGUAAACCAUAAAAGACCUUAUCCCAAAUGCAUUUCCUGUUUCUAGUUCAUGCUCCAAUGCAACCAACGCUAUACAUGUAUUACACUAUAUUUUAUAUCAUGUAUUGAAUGGAAAUUGAAAGACAAUUCAAAGCAGCUAGAUAAUGGAGAUGUAUAAACAGGACACUUUGAAUCAGUUAGUGGAGACUGCUCAGUAGAAAAACUAACAUGCCCUAACUGAUUUUGCUGCCCAUCAUGAGCAUUUUGUUGCUCAUCCUUAAUUUCUGUGAAGACAAUGAAGUUACUACUAACAUGCUUAGAAACAGCACUUCUACUUUUGGAAAGCCAAGUGAAGGUGUCUUUAUUUGAGCUGUUGUAUCAUUGCCAGCUUUCAAGAAGAGGAAAAAAAAACAGUAGAAUAAUCCAAUUGUCCCAUUAGAAAUAGUCUAAGUUCAGAGAUUCACAUUUUCUCAUUCAUAGGUUGGGUAAAAAUAUCUUGAACACAUCAAAUCCCAAUUCCAGUGCCUUUGAUUCUGGGAUCAACAUAUGGAAAAUAAAGAAGUGUAUGGCUUUAUCUUUCUUUCCCUU
ensembl:lncRNA